rnacentral:RNase_MRP_RNA from 2 species
GGGCGUUCUGAAGACCUGCUCUCUAGGCCACAUGCGGAGGACACGGUUCCUCUAGGGCUCCCGAGCCCGCCUAGGGGAAAGUCCCCGGACCCUGGGCAGAGAGUGCCGCGCGCUGCGCAGCGUGCAGUGACCCGCCUCGCAGGCUCACAUUCUCCCCGCCGAGAAGCCCCCCGGGCUGAGCGGGUGGGCGCGGGAUGGGCUGCCCGUCACUCCCACAGGAACGCAGGUAGUGCGCAGGCGUGUUCCCCCUCUUGGGGGGCUCCCGCUGCUGCACCAACAGAACGGGGCUCUUCUCAGAGCAGCC